rnacentral:rRNA from 1 species
UUAGAUUUUAUUUAUUAAUUUUUAAAGUUUUUUAAAAAAGUAUUAAAAAUAAUUAUAUAAGAGAAAGUUUUAGUAUUGUUUAAAGAAAAAAUAAAUUUAAUAAUAGUUUAAUAGUAUUGUGAAAGAAAAUUGAAAUAAUUUGAAAAAUUUUUAUUUUGAAAGAAAAUUUAAUUUAUUGACCU